UACAGAGGUCCCGAGCGUUGUUCGGAUUCACUGGGCGUAAAGGGUGCGUAGGUGGUUGGGUAAGUCUGAUGUGAAAUCUCCGGGCUCAACCCGGAAAUGGCAUUGGAUACUAUUCGGCUAGAGGUUUGGAGGGGGGACUGGAAUUCUCGGUGUAGCAGUGAAAUGCGUAGAUAUCGAGAGGAACACCAGUGGCGAAGGCGAGUCCCGGACAACACCUGACACUGAGGCACGAAAGCUAGGGGAGCAAACAGG
rnacentral:rRNA from 1 species